GUCUUUUUGUUAUUAAUUUAAAGUCAAAUCUGCCCACUGAUUUAUUAUUAAAGGGCUGCAGUAUAUUGACUGUACAAAGGUAGCAUAAUAAUUAGUCUUUUAAUUGAAGACUUGUAUGAAAGAUUUGAUGAGAUAUAGACUGUCUCUUUUUUAUAGUUAGAACUUAAUUUUUUAGUAAAAAAGCUAAAAUUUUUUUAAAAGACGAGAAGACCCUAUAGAGUUUUAUAAUUAAGUUUAAUUAUAUAUUUAUAUUUAAAUUUAAAAUUAAUUAAUUUAAUUAUUUUAUUGGGGUGAUAGAAAAAUUAAAAUAACUUUUUUUAAAUUUAAACAUUAAUUAAUGAUUAUAUGAUCCAUAAUUUAUGAUUAUAAGAAAAAAUUACCUUAGGGAUAACAGCGUAAUUUUUUUUUUUAGUUCUUAUAAGAAAAAAAGUUUGCGACCUCGAUGUUGGAUUAAGAUAAAAUUUAAAUGCAGAAGUUUAAAAUUUUUGAUCUGUUCGAUCAUUAAAAUCUUACA
rnacentral:rRNA from 1 species